rnacentral:tRNA from 1 species
GACUUUUUAACUAUAAAUAAGUAUAUAUUUUGAAAAUAUAUUAAAGAAAAAAUUUUCUAUGAGUCU